rnacentral:rRNA from 1 species
GACGAACGCUGGCGGCGUGCCUAAUACAUGCAAGUCGAACGAAGUGGGGACGGGUGAGAAACACGUGGGUAACCUCCCAUCAGAUGGGAUAACACUUGGAAACAGGUGCUAAACCGAUACUGAUGGAUGGACCCGCGGUGCAUUUGCUAGUUGGUGAGGUAACGGCUCACCAAGGCCACGAUGCAUAACCGACCGAAUAUGGAGAUGGGCCCCGCUGGGACUGAGACACGGCCCAUAAGCCUGCGGGAGGCCGCGGUAGGGAAUCUGCGGCAAUGGACGAAAGUCUGACCGACCAACGCCUCGUGAGUGAAGAAGGUUUGCGGAUCUUAAACCUCUGUUGUUAGAGAAGCUGUAUCUAACCAGAAAGCCACGGCUAACUACGUGCCAGCCGCCGCGGUAAUAC